rnacentral:rRNA from 1 species
UGCAAGUCGAGGGGCAGCAUAAAGUACUUGUACUUUGAUGGCGACCGGCGAACGGGUGCGUAACGCGUAUGCAACUUACCUUUUACUAGAGAAUAGCCAAGAGAAAUUUUGAUUAAUGCUCUAUACUCUUUUUAACUCACAUGAGUUUUUAAGAAAAGCUCCGGCGGUAAAAGAUGGGCACGCGUCCUAUUAGCUUGUAGGUGAGGUAACGGCUCACCUAAGCUCCGAUAGGUAGGGGUCCUGAGAGGGAGAUCCCCCACACUGGUACUGAGACACGGACCAGACUUCUACGGAAGGCAGCAGUAAGGAGUAUUGGACAAUGGAGGAAACUCUGAUCCAGCGAUGCCGCGUGAAGGAAGACGGCCCUAUGGGUUGUAAACUUCUUUUAUACAGGAAGAAACCUUUCCACGUGUGGAAAGCUGACGGUACUGUAAGAAUAAGGAUCGGCUAACUCCGUGCCAGCAGCCGCGGUAAUACGGAGGAUCCAAGCGUUAUCCGGAAUUAUUGGGUUUAAAGGGUCCGCAGGCUGUUUGUUAAGUCAGGGGUGAAAUCCUACCGCUCAACGGUAGAACUGCCUUUGAUACUGGCAAACUUGAGUUAUUGUGAAGUAGUUAGAAUGUGUAGUGUAGCGGUGAAAUGCAUAGAUAUUACACAGAAUACCAAUUGCGAAGGCAGAUUACUAACAAUUAACUGACGCUGAGGGACGAAAGCGUGGGUAGCGAACAGGAUUAGAUACCCCGGUAGUCCACGCCGUAAACGAUGGUCACUAGCUGUUCGAUGUACAUUGGUACAUUGAGUGGCUAAGCGAAAGUGAUAAGUGACCCACCUGGGGAGUACGCUCGCAAGAGUGAAACUCAAGGAAUUGACGGGGGCCCGCGUAAGCGGUGGAGCAUGUGGUUUAAUUCGAUGAUACGCGAGGAACCUUACCAGGACUUAGUGUAAGUUGCAUGAUUCAGAAAUGGA